rnacentral:rRNA from 1 species
GUCUACAGCCAUGCUACCCUGAACAAGCCUGAUCCCAUCUGAUCUUGGAAGCUAAGCAGGGUUGGGCCUGGUUAGUACUUGAAUGGGAGACCACCUAGGAAGACCAGGUGCUGUAGGUG